UUUUAAUAAAACAUGAAUCUCAAACUUGGAAUCUCAAGAACUAAUUCAUUGUCUUUCCUUAAAAAGAUCAAGUGCUGGACUGCUGGUACACUAAAAUCAGAAAAAAUCAAGUAAAAAAACCCUAUUUACAUAAUUAAAGUAAAAAAUCAGAAAGAAUUGAGUAAAAAGUUAUACAUAUUUAAACAUAAAAUCAAUACUCAAUAGAAAAACCAAUUUGGGCUAAAAAUCAAAUUAAAAAACCCAAUCUAGAUAACCAAUCUCAUAAAUUCAACUUGAUAAAACUUACAGCCUACCUUGAAACAAUGGAGGAGAUUCCUAGAAAUUGGGGCUACCUCAAACAAUUGAGGGCUAUCUCAAACAAUUCCUAGAGACAUACAAUAUGCCCAUGAAUUAUGUGGGCAAGAAAUU
rnacentral:lncRNA from 1 species